rnacentral:rRNA from 1 species
GUCCACGCCGUAAACGAUGGGCACUAGGUGUCGGGGGUAUCCACUCCCUCGGUGCCGCCGCUAACGCAUUAAGUGUCCCGCCUGGGAAGUACGGUCGCAAGAUUAAAACUCAAAGGAAUUGACGGGGGCCCGCACAAGCGGUGGAGCAUGUGGUUCAAUUCGAUGCAACGCGAAGAACCUUACCUGGGUUUGACAUCUGGCGAAUUUCGGUGAAAGCCGGAAGUGCCCGCAAGGGAACGCCAAGACAGGUGCUGCAUGGCUGUCGU